rnacentral:rRNA from 1 species
AACGAACGCUGGCGGCAUGCCUAACACAUGCAAGUCGAACGAGACCUUCGGGUCUAGUGGCGCACGGGUGCGUAACGCGUGGGAAUCUACCCUUGGGUUCGGAAUAACUCAGAGAAAUUUGAGCUAAAUACCGGAUGAUGUCGCAAGACCAAAGAUUUAUCGCCCAAGGAUGAGCCCGCGUAGGAUUAGCUUGUUGGUGAGGUAAAAAGCUCACCAAGGCGACGAUCCUUAGCUGGUCUGAGAGGAUGAUCAGCCACACUGGGACUGAGACACGGCCCAGACUCCUACGGGAGGCAGCAGUGGGAAUAUUGGACAAUGGGCGAAAGCCUGAUCCAGCAAUGCCGCGUGAGUGAUGAAGGCCUUAGGGUUGUAAAGCUCUUUUACCCGGGAU